GGCUUCAAACAGACUUCAAGAACAGAUGAUGUCUAAGCGUGAGCAAAGGGCAGAAGCCCCUCCAUCUGACAGCUUUUCCAGAGGACAAAGCGACCACCGUGGAGGUGGAGCACAUGUGUGUGAGCCUAAGAGCGGCAGGCCGGGGAGACAGACUCACAAUCCACAGCUUUUUGAAUUUUGAGCCACACAAAUACUCUUGUUGGCAGAAGAGCACCUAGUAAAAAGGGCUGGGAUGUAGUCUGUGGUGUGGAGCUUUUCUAGUACAAAAACAAAGACAGGACAACCAGAAAUAAAUGCAUCAUA